rnacentral:sRNA from 1 species
UGGACUAUUGGCUUCAACAUGAGACUAAUCCAGGAUGGUGACAUGCCGGUCUUUGUAGUUCUUGCUUCGGGGUUAAUGAGGGGCAGGAAAGAGUUCCUUAGAUUCCUGCAUGGCAUCAUGAAUGCUGCUGUUCUUCUUACUUUGGUUUUUUUCCUCCUCCUCUACCUUUUCUACCUUGGUGUGCUGGGAUCAGAUCCUGCUUAUCUUCCACUUCUUAAGAAAAGCUGACAUAGAAGACACAUUGGGACUAUAACAGGGCUGGGUCUCCUCUUCCACUCCCACUAGACACAUGCUGCAGUACAUCAGAGAGUUUGUCACCAGUUAAGCAGGCUCCUCGGAAGUCUCCCUCCGACACUGAGGGUCUUGUAAAGAGUCUGCCUUCUGGAUCUCACCAGGGCCCAGUCAUAUAUGCACAGUUAGACCACUCCGGCGGACAUCAUAGUGACAAGAUUAACAAGUCAGAGUCUGUGGUGUAUGCGGAUAUCCGAAAGAAUUAAGAGAAUACCUAGAACAUAUCCUCAGCAAGAAACAAAACCAAACUGGACUCUUGUGCAGAAAAUGUAGCCCAUUACCACAUGUAGCCUUGGAGACCCAGGCAAGGACAAGUACAUGUGUACUCACAGAGGGAGAGAAAGAUGUGUACAAAGGAUAUGUAUAAAUAUUCUAUUUAGUCUUCCUGAUGUGAGGAGCCAGUGUUGCAUGAUGAAAAGAUGGUAUGAUUCUACAUAUGUACCCAUUGUCUUGCUGUUUUUGUACUUUCUUUUCAGGUCAUUUACAAUUGGGAGAUUUCAGAAACAUUCCUUUCACCAUCAUUUAGAAAUGGUUUGCCUUAAUGGAGACAAUAGCAGAUCCUGUAGUAUUUCCAGUAGACAUGGCCUUUUAAUCUAAGGGCUUAAUCAGUCUUAGCAUUUAUUGUAGUUGGAGGAUGGAGAUGCUAUGAUGGAAGCUUACCCAG